CUACGGGGGGCACCAGUGAGGAAUUUUGCGCAAUGGGGGGAACCCUGACGCAGCAACGCCGUGUGAGUGAAGAAGGCCUUUGGGUCGUAAAGCUCUGUCAACUGGGAAGAAGUUACUAUGCUUAAAUAGAGUGUAGUAUUGACGGUACCAGUGGAGGAAGCGUCGGCUAACUCCGUGCCAGCAGCCGCGGUAACACGGGGGACGCAAGCGUUAUUCGGAAUUAUUGGGCGUAAAGGGCGCGUAGGCGGUCUUGUCGGUCAGGUGUGAAAGCCCGGGGCUCAACCCCGGACGUGCACUUGAAACAGCAAGACUUGAGUACGGGAGAGGAAAGCGGAAUUCCUGGUGUAGAGGUGAAAUUCGUAGAUAUCAGGAGGAACACCGAUGGCGAAGGCAGCUUUCUGGACCGAAACUGACGCUGAGGCGCGAAGGCGUGGGUAGCGAACGGGAUUAGAUACCCCCGUAGUC
rnacentral:rRNA from 1 species